UGGUAGUNCACGCCGUAAGCGAUGGGUGCUAGGUGUUAGGCCCUUUCCGGGGCUUAGUGCCGGAGCUAACGCAAUAAGCACUCCGCCUGGGGAGUACGACCGCAAGGUUGAAACUCAAAGGAAUUGACGGGGGCCCGCACAAGCGGUGGAGCAUGUGGUUUAAUUCGAAGCAACGCGAAGAACCUUACCAGGUCUUGACAUCCCGAUGCUAUUCUUAGAGAUAGGAAGUUACUUCGGUACAUCGGAGACAGGUGGUGCAUGGUUGUCGUCAGCUCGUGCCGUGAGAUGUUGGGUUAAGUCCCGCAACGAGCGCAACCCUUAUUGUUAGUUGCCAUCAUUAAGUUGGGCACUCUAGCGAGACUGCCGGUAAUAAACCGGAGGAAGGUGGGGAUGACGUCAAAUCAUCAUGCCCCUUAUGACCUGGGCUACACACGUGCUACAAUGGUCGGUACAACGAGUUGCGAGCCGGUGACGGCAAGCUAAUCUCUGAAAGCCGAUCUCAGUUCGGAUUGGAGGCUGCAACUCGCCUCCAUGAAGUCGGAAUCGCUAGUAAUCGCGGAUCAGCACGCCGCGGUGAAUACGUUCCCGGGCCUUGUACACACCG
rnacentral:rRNA from 1 species